CGUGGAUAACCUGCCGUGCACAGGGGGAUAACACUUAGAAAUAGGUGCUAAUACCGCAUAAGCGCACAGUUUCGCAUGAGACGGUGUGAAAAGCCUGGAAGCGAUUCCUGGCGGUGCAUGAUGGAUCCGCGUCCGAUUAGCUAGUUGGCGGGGUAAAGGCCCACCAAGGCAGCGAUCGGUAGCCGGCCUGAGAGGGUGGACGGCCACAUUGGGACUGAGACACGGCCCAAACUCCUACGGAAGGCAGCAG
rnacentral:rRNA from 1 species